rnacentral:lncRNA from 1 species
GUGCCACCUGGGGGUCUCUGGGGCUGUGCUGGGCUUCUUGUGGCCACUUGAGGCCACUUGGGGGCUGUGCUGGGCUUCCUGGUGCUACCUGGGGCUGUGCUGGGCUUCUUGUGGCCACCUGGGGUUUCCUGGGGCCAUCUGAAGGUUCCUGGGGCUGUUGCUGGGCUUUUUGGGGCUACCUGGGGGUUCCUGGGGCCGUGCUGGGCUCUCUGGGGCCAUUUGGGGCUUCCUGGGGCUGGCUUAGGGUUUUUGGGGCCAUUUGGGGCUUCCUGGAGCUGUGCUGGGCUUCUUGUGGCCAUCUGGGGGCUCCUGGGGCCGUGCUGGGCUUUGCCAGGUGAGCAACACCUCAGUUUCCAUUUUUGNNNNNNNNNNNNNNNNNNNNNNNNNNNNNNNNNNNNNNNNNNNNNNNNNNNGGGAUUUGGGGUGGGCAGCAGCCAGCUCCUUUGGGAGCUGUGGGGCUGAGCUUGGGGAUGUGGAGAGGCUGUUUUGGGGUCAGGAAGUGGGGAUUUGGGGGCAGAAAGUGGGGAUUUGGGGACGGGAUUUGGAAAUAGAGCCUGGGAGGAGCACAGGGUUUGGGGCUCGGGGCUUUAGGGCUGAACUUGGGUCCUUGGGAGGUUUGGGGAUGGAUUUGGGGGUUUGGAGACAUCCCGGUUUUGGGGCUGGAUGUGGGGAUUUGGGGCUGGCUUUGGGUUUUUGGAGACAUCUCCGUUUUGGGGCUGGAUGUGGAGAUUUGGGGCUGGAUGUGGAGAUUUGGGGCUGGAUGUGGAGAUUUGGGGCUGGAUGUGGAGAUUUGGGGCUGGAUGUGGGGGUUUGGAGACAUCCCUGUUUUGGGGCUGAAUGUGGGGAUUUCAGGCUGGAUUUGGGGGUUUGGAGUCAUCCCUAUUUUGGGGCUGGAUGUGGAGAUUUGGGUCUGGAGACAUCCCUGUUUUGGGGCUGAAUGUGGGGAUUUCAGGCUGGAUGUGGGGAUUUGGAGACAUCCCAGUUUUGGGGCUGGCUUUGGAUUUUUGGAGACAUCCCAGUUUUGGGGCUGGUUUUGGGUUUUUGGAGACAUCCCUGUUUUGGGGCUGGAUGUGGAGAUUUGGGUCUGGAUGUGGGGAUUUGGAGUCAUCCCUAUUUUGGGGCUGGAUGUGGGGGUUUGGAGACAUCCCUGUUUUGGUGCUGGAUGUGGGGAUUUCAGGCUGGUUUUGGGUUUUUGGAGACAUCCCAGUUUUGGGGCUGGAUGUGGAGAUUUGGAGACAUCCCAGUUUUGGGGCUGGUUUUGGGUUUUUGGAGACAUCCCCAUUUUGGGGCUGGAUGUGGGGAUUUGGGGCUGA